rnacentral:misc_RNA from 1 species
GAAAUGUGAUAAGUAGUGUGAAUUGCAGAAUUCAGUGAAUCAUCGAAUCUUUGAACGCAGAUUGCGCCCCUUGGUAUUCCAUGGGGCAUGCCUGUUCGAGCGUCAUUUGUACCCUCAAGCUCUGCUUGGUGUUGGGUGUUUGUCCCCGUCUCCGCGCGUGGACUCGCCCCAAAGUGAUUGGCAGCCGGCGUACUGGUCCCGGAGCGCAGCACAUGUCGCGCAAACGAGUGCCUUGGUACGGCGGCGUCCAUAAGCCCCUCUCUCACGCUCUUGACCUCGGAUCAGGUAGGGAUACCCGCUGAACUUAAGC